rnacentral:rRNA from 1 species
GAACAAGUUGCUUCGGCGGGCGGUCCCGGGGAGGGACCGUAGCCCGCGAGGGCGCCCGCCGGAGGACCCAAACCUCUGAAGUUUCAAGUCUCUCUGAGCAAAAAACAAAUGAAUCAAAACUUUCAACAACGGAUCUCUUGGUUCGGGCAUCGAUGAAGAACGCAGCGAAAUGCGAUAAGUAAUGUGAAUUGCAGAACUCAGCGAAUCAUCGAAUCUUUGAACGCACAUUGCGCCCGGGAGUAUUCUCCCGGGCAUGCCUGUUCGAGCGUCAUUUCAACCCUCGCGCCCCGCGCGGUGUUGGGGCCCUGCGGCUGCCGCAGGCCCUGAAAUUCAGUGGCGGGCUCGCCAGGACUCCCAGCGCAGUAGCUUAACCUCGCUGUGGAUUACUGGUUGGUUCCAGCCGUG